rnacentral:lncRNA from 1 species
CCCUAGAAAUCAUCUAUAAAUAGAGAUCUAUCCUUCCUUUGAACAUCAUCAAAAUUUUUGAAGAAAUCCUACCAUUUUUCAUAGGAUUUCUUGAGAGUUUUGCUUAGGUUGUCGGUGGAGAAGAGAUUGUCAGAAUCCUUCUUUAGCUCCGCCAGACUAGGGUAGCCUCCUUCCCCUUAAUUCUCUUCUUUUUUUCUGAUCUUCUCCUCAUCGCCGACAUUUAGUUUGGAGCCGGCACCUUGUGAUACCCCCAACC